rnacentral:lncRNA from 1 species
UGAAGAAGUCGAUGUCAAGAACAGCUAGCUCCUCCGUCCACCAGUUAGGGGGCGAACAGCUGGGGAAAUUGGCUUCGCUGCAGGCCUUGGCGCUGACGGCCUCGACGCAGCGUUUCACGACGUUUAUGUCGUCGGCGUAGGGGAGGAGGUUGCGGCAGGACUUCAGGACGGUGACGGCGCCGGUGAGUGUGAAGAAUGCUACCUGCGUGAGAAACUCCUCCGUCCGUCCGGUGAGGUUGUUUUCGCAGUACUGAUCCGUCAUCUGAAGGAACUCCGCGGCGCAUCUCAAAACGGCGACGUUGUUGACCGUUAUUUCAAAGUUGACGCCGUAACAGAAUUUGGCGGUUUUCUCGAAGAUUGCAGGACCUCCUGGUAUAUCAGAG